rnacentral:rRNA from 1 species
GUAGAACGCAAGCUUAGGGUAGAGUGGCGGACGGGUGGGUAACGCGUGAGAAUAUGCCUAGGGGUAGGGGACAACCACUGGAAACGGUGGCUAAUACCGGAUAAGCCUUUGGGUAAAAAAUUUAUUGCCCCAAGAGGAGCUCGCGUAUGAUUAGCUAGUUGGUGAGGUAAGAGCUCACCAAGGCAGCGAUCAGUAGCUGGUCUGAGAGGACGAUCAGCCACACUGGGACUGAGACACGGCCCAGACUCCUACGGGAGGCAGCAGUGGGGAAUUUUCCGCAAUGGGCGAAAGCCUGACGGAGCAAGACCGCGUAGAGCGGAGGAAGGCUCUUGGGUUGUAAACCUCUUUUCUCAGGGAAGAAGCUCUGACGGUACCCGAGGAAUACAGGCUCGGCUAACUACCGUGCCAGCAGCCGCGGUAAUACGGAGGAGGCAAGCGUUAUCCGGAAUUAUUGGGCGUAAAGCGUCCGCAGGUGGCGAUUCAAGUCUGCUGUAAAAGCACGGGGCUUAACUCCGUUA